AUCUGAUUCAUUUUGUGUUUUGACGCUCAGCAGCAGCACUUCCUCUAAGAGACGUUAUAAAGUUACACACAUCAAUCUGCACACAAGUUCAACCUGAACACGUUCAACAAGAUCACAGAAUGAAGACUCUGCUGCUUUCACUCCUCUGUGUGUUUGUGUGGUCUCAACACACAGAAGGUUUAACUGAUCAACAGGUCACUUUAGGACAGAAUGUGACUGUCACCUGUGAGUUUGGAUUAAAAGUCGUUAUAUGGUUUGUGAUAAAAUCAUCCGCUCAUCCAAUGAUGAUACUGCGAACAACUGGAUCUGAAGUGGCUCAAUAUUACGACAAAAAAUUCCGCAACAAAUAUUCAGAGGGUAGCAGGAGCCAAUUAAUUAUUAAUAAUAUCACUGCUGAUGAUUUAGGAACUUAUUACUGUGUAAAACCAAGCAGGACCACUCUAGAGAUCAGUGAUGGUAUCAGACUGGACACCACUGGAGCUCACCCAGAUCUCAGUGAACCAGAGCAACAAAAUCCACCACAAGAUCAGAGAUCAUAUCAGAUCCUGAUCGUCAUAUUAACCCUGUUGAUUGUUAUGCUAUCUGCUGCAGUAAUAGGUUUAUUAAUGAUGACCCGUAAGCUGUCUCAGAAGAUUCCUAAAUAUGUAAAUGGUCAUCAGAUUUCAGAAAGAAGAAUAACUUCUAUCCAGACCAACAGCGCUGUUGUUCCUCCUCAGAAUCCACUGACCGAUCAUGAAUAUCUAGAAGUACUGCCAUACUCUGCAUAUGAAAUAGCAUACUGAGAGACUGAUUGUUAUUUGAUUCUAAAGAUCAGAACUGUGUGCUGCUUUAACAUUAAAUGUCAAUCAAGUUUUAUGAUAACUUUUGAUUUUAGAAUUGAUCAACUUUGUAAAUAAUCAUAAACAAAUAAUCAAAGUUUUUGAUUAUUUGUUUAUGUCUCUUUCUGAGUUGCUAUUAACUGAGUGGAAUGGGAUGUAGUGAGUGUUGGGGAAAGUUACUUUUAAAAGUAAUAUUGUGUUACUCCCUAAAAAGUAACUAAUUGUGUUACUUAGUUACUUUUUCUGAAAAGUAAUGCAUUGCAUUACUUUUGUGUUAGUUUUUCUCUCCUGGGCUAGACUUGCUUGUUUGUUUGUUUUUUAUUACAAGAAUAAAUAAAUAAAUAAAAGUUACGUUUUGCAAAUGUAAAGGCCCUUUCACACCAAAAGUGAAAUGAAUAAGCCUCAGGCUGAAGGAAAUGCAAAUUCACUCCUGUACAGUAGAGGGUGCAACUCAAACCUUUCAGCUGUGCUGCCAUUCUGGAUUGCAGAAGAAUAGGACACAGGAGAAGAAAGUUCAACACUCUUACUUAAGCAAUAAAAACAAAAACAAAAAAAUGAAACACAAAUGUGAUGUUUAUCUAAAGUCAUUUUUGCUUAUGGAUGAACUGGAUCAUUGAAGGUCAGCAGCAAAGACAUUGGUUAAUAAAGUUGUGUAAUUUAAGAUA